rnacentral:lncRNA from 1 species
GUUACAGUUGGGCCACAGGAAGUACCUCGAACUCACUGUCUCAGGAAGUCCCACCUGACCUGUCCUUCUUGCUAUCACAGUGCAACUUCUAGCAAUCAUUUUUAAAGAUGAAGAAUGCUUCCCAUUUCUGGCCUACACAGAUGCACCAAGAAGUCUUCUGAUGCCAAAGCUCGCUGAAAAUCUUCGACUUCACUACUGAAAAGAAGUUUCACAACUGAUGUUCAAUAUAGCAACAUAACUGCACAAAUGGCAUGCAGUGCACAUGUGAGCGCGUGAGAGAACUUACUGUGGAUGAUAACAUGUCAAUGCACAGCACUCAAGCAAGUGCAGCUGAUGUCAAGGAAGGCAGCACAGGAAUCCGAAAUUUGUGAACUUGAAGUUCCUCUGAGAAAUGAAAACUGUGAAAAGGAAAAGAAAUGUUGAAGUGUGAUCCUGAUGCAGCAAGUACAGAAACCACAUCCUGCCUCCAGACAAUGCACCUAGCAAAUUCAAUAGCCCCAAACUCCCCAUCUGCACACAGAUACUUUCAUCUCUGAGCAAUAAUAAGGAUUCUUCCAUCCCACAGAACAAAUUUACACAAUUUCUAUGGAAGUGUAUCUCACAGUAUAUCCUAGCAAAAGAAUGUAGAAGGGUUGGUCUGGUCUAAACUGGAAUCAGAUACAUGCACAGUAACAGAAACUGUCCUUCAAGUGAACUUUUAGAGACAUUCUCCAGUUUAGAAUCUUAUGCCUCUUCACAAGUGGGCAUGGCUUUGAUCACCAUCAGGUGCAUCACAGGAAGUAGCAUGAGAAUUGGAAAAAGUGGCUAUCUCAACCUCGCAAUCAAAACUCCUUAUUCUCUUGAACCCAACACAAUGAAACCCAAAAUGACAACUGAGACAACUGAGAAUCCUCAUUUGUGUGGGCUGCUGUGAAUAUUACUAGUGUGUCCCUCUAUAACAUGCACUAUCACAUCUCUCAGAAUAAAGUUCACUUCCUACA